UACGGGGGGGGCAAGCGUUGUUCGGAAUUACUGGGCGUAAAGGGCUCGUAGGCGGCCAACUAAGUCAGACGUGAAAUCCCCAGGCUUAACCUGGGAACUGCGUCUGAUACUGGAUGGCUUGAAUUCGGGAGAGGGAUGCAGAAUUCCAGGUGUAGCGGUGAAAUGCGUAGAUAUCUGGAGGAAUACCGGUGGCGAAGGCGGCAUCCUGGACCAUUACUGACGCUGAGGCGCGAAAGCUAGGGGAGCAAACGGG
rnacentral:rRNA from 1 species